UACGGAGAGGGCAAGCGUUGUUCGGAAUCACUGGGCAUAAAGCGCACGUAGGCGGAUUGGAAAGUCGGUUGUGAAAUCCCGGAGCUCAACUCCGGAACUGCUUCCGAAACUUCCAGUCUGGAGGACGAGAGGGGAGAGUGGAACUUCUGGUGGAGCGGUGAAAUGCGUAGAUAUCAGAAGGAACACCGGUGGCGAAAGCGACUCUCUGGCUCGUUUCUGACGCUAAGGUGCGAAAGCUUGGGUAGCAAACGGG
rnacentral:rRNA from 1 species